rnacentral:rRNA from 1 species
UGGGGAAUAUUGCACAAUGGGCGCAAGCCUGAUGCAGCAACGCCGCGUGAAGGAAGACGGUUUUCGGAUUGUAAACUUCUGUUCUUAGUGAAGAAUAAUGACGGUAGCUAAGGAGCAAGCCACGGCUAACUACGUGCCAGCAGCCGCGGUAAUACGUAGGUGGCAAGCGUUGUCCGGAAUUACUGGGUGUAAAGGGAGCGCAGGCGGGUGAUCAAGUCAGCUGUGAAAACUACGGGCUCAACCCAUAAACUGCAGUUGAAACUGUUAUUCUUGAGUGGAGUAGAGGCAAGCGGAAUUCCGAGUGUAGCGGUGAAAUGCGUAGAUAUUCGGAGGAACACCAGUGGCGAAGGCGGCUUGCUGGGCUCUAACUGACGCUGAGGCACGAAAGCGUGGGUAGCAAACAGGAUUAGAUACCCUGGUAGU